rnacentral:tRNA from 1 species
GCGGGAAUAGCUCAGUGGGUAGAGCACAACCUUGCCAAGGUUGGGGUCGCGAGUUCGAGUCUCGUUUCCCGCUCCA